rnacentral:rRNA from 1 species
CAAAGAUUAAGCCAUGCAUGUCUCAGUGCAAGCCAAAUUAAGGUGAAACCGCGAAAGGCUCAUUAAAUCAGCUAUAAUUUAAUUGAUGGUACAAUCACGGUUACUUGGAUAACUGUGGCAAUUCUAGAGCUAAUACAUGCAAAACGAGUUCCGACCGCGCGUCCGAGAGGUAGCGCGGAACGAAUGCUUUUAUUAGAACAAAACCAAUCGGAUCUUUCGUCGCGGGCUCGUCGAACGCGCGCGAGCGUCGUCGACGGCGGCUCGUAGCACGAAAGCAAUCCGCAAAUUCUUGACGACUCUGAAUAACUUUGGGCUGAUCGCACGGUCACGCACCGGCGACGCAUCUUUCAAAUGUCUGACUUAUCAACUUUCGAUGGUAGGCUACGCGCCUACCAUGGUGAUAACGGGUGACGGGGAAUCAGGGUUCGAUUCCGGAGAGGGAGCCUGAGAAACGGCUACCACAUCCAAGGAAGGCAGCAGGCGCGCAAAUUACCCACUCCCGGCACGGGGAGGUAGUGACGAAAAAUAACGAUGCAGGACUCUUUCCGAGGCUCUGCAAUCGGAAUGAGCACACUCUAAAUCAUUUAACGAGUAUCCAUUGGAGGGCAAGUCUGGUGCCAGCAGCCGCGGUAAUUCCAGCUCCAAUAGCGUAUAUUAAAGUUGCUGCGGAUAAAAAGCUCGUAGUUUGAUUUGUGUUCCGAGCAGUCGGUACGCCGUUCGUCGGCGCCUAACUGACUCGCGGCGGAACGUCCUGCCGGUUGACGGAGCGGGGGGCGGUUCUACGGAACGCGGCGGCGAAAGGCGUUCUCACGCCGUCACGGCGAAACGCGGAUGGAGCCGAUCGGAGGUGAAAAAUGAUCGCGGUUACNAUCGCGAAUUAGCCGCUUGCGCGCGAUCGCUUUCCGCCGCGGCGAACGAUCCGAAUUUCGCGCGUGCUAGCGUCUCGCGUUCGUUUCGGCGAGCGCGUGCGCGCGAGCUCGCGCGAUGCGGUUCGAUAAAUUCGUCGCGGGUUCAACGGUGGCGCGUCGUCGUCGCACGCGGCGUUCGCGUAUCGACGCGAUCGUCAAAAAUUUUUCUCUCCAUUUAAAUCGGCAAAAAAAUUUCCGAGCGAUUUUUUCGCCCGGUAUUUUUUUCNCGUCCACUCUGCGAUUUUCGUUUCUCUCGUGCGAAACGGAGUUCGCGCAAAACUUUCGCCGGNCCGCUCGUCCNNCUUUAGCCGGGAUCGUUUUUUUUUUUUUUUUUCGUGUCGUUCGUCGUUCGCGCGCUCCCGCCGCGGCGAACGUUUUUCGCCUCGCGUUUCCGCUCCGGGAAAAACCGUACGUUUUUUUCCGUAAAUUUUUUUUUGCGCGGGAAACGAAACGUCCGCUUAAAAAACGGCGUCACUGCGUCCGUCAGUCUUAGAAUCCCGUCGCGGUGCUCUUAACCGAGUGACGCGCCGGGCCGGCACGUUUACUUUGAACAAAACUGAGUGCUUAAAGCAGGCCAAACCCAGCCGCCGGAAAGUCCAAUGCAUGGAAUAAUGGAAUAGGGCCACGGUUCUAUUUUGUUGGUUUUCGGAAUUUCCGAGGCAAUGAUUAAUGGGGACAGGCGGGGGCAUUAGUAUUGCGGCGUUAGAGGUGAAAUUCUUGGAUCGUCGCAAGACUAACCUAAGCGAAAGCAUUUGCCAAGGAUGUUUUCUUUAAUCAAGAACGAAAGUUGGAGGUUCGAAGGCGAUCAGAUACCGCCCUAGUUCUUACCGUAAACUAUGCCGGCUAGCGAUCCGUCGAUGUUCGUUUAGAUGAUUCAGCGGGCAGCUUGAGGGAAACCAAAGCCUUCGGGUUCCGGGGGAAGUAUGGUUGCAAAGCUGAAACUUAAAGGAAUUGACGGAAGGGCACCACCAGGAGUGGAGCUUGCGGCUUAAUUUGACUCAACACGGGAAACCUCACCAGGCCCGGACACCGGAAGGAUUGACAGAUCAAGAGCUCUUUCUUGAUUCGGUGGGUGGUGGUGCAUGGCCGUUCUUAGUUGGUGGAGCGAUUUGUCUGGUUAAUUCCGAUAACGAACGAGACUCUAGCCUGUUAACUAGGCGACGAUCCGCCUUCGCGCGGAUUUUCCGGCAUGGAGCGAUUUUCAUUUUUCAAACACUGCCGGCGACGUGAUUUCUUCUUAGAGGGACAAGCGGCUUCUAGCCGCACGAGAUUGAGCAAUAACAGGUCUGUGAUGCCCUUAGAUGUUCUGGGCCGCACGCGUGCUACACUGAAGGAAUCAACGUGUACGACCGUCCUAGGCCGAGAGGUCCGGGGAACCCGUUGAAUUUCCUUCGUGAUAGGGAUCGGGGCUUGCAAUUGUUUCCCGUGAACUAGGAAUUCCCAGUAAGCGCGAGUCAUAAGCUCGCGUUGAUUACGUCCCUGCCCUUUGUACACACCGCCCGUCGCUACUACCGAUCGAACGAUUUAGUGAGGUCUUUGGACU